rnacentral:rRNA from 1 species
GACGUAGGGUCCAAGCGUUGUCCGGAUUUACUGGGCGUAAAGAGCGCGUAGGCGGCUCGAUAAGUGUGAAGUGAAAUCUCUAGGGCUCAACCCAGAAACUGCUUUACAUACUGUCGAGCUGGAGUGUGGCAGAGGGAGGUGGAAUUCCACGUGUAGCAGUGAAAUGCGUAGAGAUGUGGAGGAACACCGAUGGCGAAGGCAGCCUCCUGGGCCAGCACUGACGCUCAUGCACGAAAGCGUGGGGAGCAAACAGG